CUUUCUCACAGAAAAAAAAGCUGCAAGAGAUUCCCUUAUUUAAAACAAUUGCAGCAUGUGGAUUUACUGCACUUAAAUCAUUACUGGCAAUUAGCACGUGUCAGAAGGUUGCAGCUGGCUCCAAUUACAGAUGCUGUAUAUCGCCCUUGGUUUAAAUGCACAGUUCCCUGCGGAAUCUCAUGCCCUAGAUUGAGAGCAUAUUUGGUCUAAUCCAGGCUCCCUUUGAAAUCUAUGAGUGGAAAAACCACACGAUCAACUUGCAAAGCCGGCAUGCCAUAGAAAGAGAGGCAGAUGCUACAGGAAUAAAAGGGCAUUAGUGAAAAGAAACCUGACAUGGAUGCAAAAACGAGGUCUGAAUUCCCCAGUGGGAAUAAUGAGAGGGAAUGCUGGGAGAGAAGAAUGCAAUUGUAUUAGGCUCCGUCACAAUGGGAGGAUACUGGACUUGGAACAUACUAAACACUCCAAUUCAAAAAGUUGAUUGCCAAGAAUUGAGAAGCACCAGAAAACGCUGCAGUUGAAGCAUACGCUGGAACACAGUCCAAUAUAUUGAAAUAGUCGAUCUCUCCACGAUGCUACUUGCUCACAAAUAGUCCAGUUGGUGGUAAGAUGUGUACUUGCUUCACACAGCCAAAAGUAAGGGGAAAUCCAUCUGCUUGUAUUUGAAAUCAGCUCUCUAACCUGCUGUUGGUCAAACCCCACCCAGAUGGUGCUACUCAGACGUAUGCGCUCAAAAGAUAAUCUACGUUAAAGUUGUGGGUGUCUAUUUUUAUUUUUCAUCUUGGUUAAAUACCAUGCAGCCAACGUACCCAACCUGCUCUACUCAGAAAUCGUGACCAAAAAAAGAAAGGAAGGAAGGAAGAUUAACUGGGAGUGGUAGAAACCAUGCCUUUCUGCAGCUAAACGUAUACUAUAUGGUGAGAGCGGGGGGUGGGGUGGGACCUGUAGUCCUCCAGGCUCCCAUCGGUUUUGCAGAUGGGUUGUAGCUCAGUGGUAACACAUUUGCCUUGUAUUCAGAAGGUCUCAGGUUCAAUUCCUGGUAUUUCCAUGUAGGGCUGGG